AUUGAACGCUGGCGGCAGGCCUAACACAUGCAAGUCGAACGAGUGGCGGACGGGUGAGUAAUGUCUGGGAAACUGCCUGAUGGGGGGGGAUAACUACUGGAAACGGUCGCUAAUACCGCAUACCAUCAGAUUUGGCCAGAUGGGAUUGGCUGGUUGGUGGGGGAACGGCUCACCAAGGCGACGAUACCUAGCUGGUCUGAGAGGAUGACCAGCCACACUGGAACUGGGACACGGUCCAGAUUCCUCGGGGAGGCAGCAGUGGGGAAUAUUGCACAAGGGGGGCAAGCCUGAUGCAGCCAGGCGGCGUGGAUGAAGAAGGCCUUCGGGUGGUAAAGUACUUUCAGCGGGGAGGCGGUACCCGCAGAAGAAGCACCGGCUAACUCCGUGCCAGCAGCCGCGGUAAUAC
rnacentral:rRNA from 1 species